rnacentral:rRNA from 1 species
UGAGUAACCUGCCCUUCUCAUCGGAAUAAGCGUUGGAAACGACGUCUAAUGCCGAAUACGACCUCCUUUCGCAUGAUCGGAGGUGGAAAGCUCCGGCGGAGAAGGAUGAGCCCGCGGCCUAUCAGCUAGUUGGUGUGGGUAAUGGCCCACCAAGGCGACGACGGGUAGCCGGCUGAGAGGGUGUCCGGCCACACGUGGGACUGAGACACGGCCCAGACCUCCGUACGGGAGCAGCAGGU